UACGGGAGGGGCAAGCGUUAUCCGGCGUGACUAGGCGUAAAGUGUUCGUAGAUUGUAAAAAUAAGUUAUUAGUUAAAAAAUUUAAAGCUCAACUUUAAAAAAAGCUUUUAAUACUGUUUUACUUGAGUUUUUAUGCAGAAGAGUAGAAUUUUACAUGGAAGGGUGAAAUCUACAGAUAUGUAAAGGAAUACCAAUAGCGAAGGCAACUCUUUAGUAAAAACUGACAUUGAGGAACGAAAGUGUAGGUAGCAAACAGG
rnacentral:rRNA from 1 species